rnacentral:snoRNA from 1 species
AAGAUGGAUGAUGAUGAGCUCAUCUCCUAUAUUCUCAUGGGGCUGGGUGAAGAGUUUAACUCGGUUGCGACAGCUGUGUAAAAUCGAGUUGAACCGAUCUCCCUCCAGGAACUGCAGGCUCAAUUGGUGAGUCAUG